GUUAUCUGCAAAAAUAGAAGCAGAGAAAAAGUUCCGGUAGAAAAAUGGCGUUGCUGGGCGGGGAUUUGAGCUGGCGCGGAAGCUGGAGAGCCAGGGCGUGUGGCGGUCUUGGCUCGGCGACGAACUCUACUCCUCAUUCAUUCCGUUCCCCUCUUCUUCGGCGGCUUGGGACUCUUUCAUGCGGCCCAAGUCUAGGCCGCAGAUCUCGUGCGUGCAUAAGGCAUCCGUUUCUCUAUUCGCGCAGCCUACCGCUCUCACCAAGCUCAAUACUAACUAUUUGGAGCUGCACGGUGAUGAUGAGUAUUUCACGUUGGAAAAUGGUGCGAAAGGUGUGGACCAACGCCGGCUGCUUCAAGUACUAACAUCAUCUAAAGUAUGCUUUGUAUCUUAGGACACUCAAAAGCAUCUAUUGGCAUUGGAUCAAGAUUUAGUGAACAAGAAGUUGAUGCUGUGUCCCAAAGACUUAAGCUCGAAGAACUACCAGAAACAUGGACCAUGUCCAUGGCAAGGGCUCCACCUGUAAAAGUUGAAGGUUGGGUAUUCUUCCAUGAAGCAUGAUUCAGAGGAAAAUAAGCUACUUUCUCCUCCAAAGUAAAUUCUCUUUUGUUCCUAAUUUCUGAUCCUAGUUAGAGAAUACUCUUUUAUUGUAUUAAUUUGUUCAUCCUUUGUCUUUGUAGCACUAUUAACAUAGAAAUUUUAGGAACUGGCAUAGCAUAGGGUGACCAUUCUCAGUAAUCAAUGCUUCUGUUUUUAGUAGUUCUCUAUCUUUUGACACUUGUUUGUAUUGUUUUUUUUAUCACAGUAAUUGAUUUCUGUACUUGUAAUAAUUUAUUAAUAUUACUUGGCUUCAUUUCGAGA